GCCGGCAUAGCUCAGUUGGUAGAGCACCUGAUUUGUAAUCAGGGGUCACGGGUUCGAAUCCUGUUGCCGGCACCA
rnacentral:tRNA from 1 species